rnacentral:tRNA from 3 species
GCCGGCGUGGUGGAAUUGGUAGACACGCAGGACUUAAAAUCCUGUGGCCAUUGGCCGUAUCGGUUCGAGUCCGAUCGCCGGUACCA